rnacentral:rRNA from 1 species
AUUGAACGCUGGCGGCAGGCCUAACACAUGCAAGUCGAGCGGAUGAAGGGAGCUUGCUCCUGGAUUCAGCGGCGGACGGGUGAGUAAUGCCUAGGAAUCUGCCUGGUAGUGGGGGAUAACGUCCGGAAACGGGCGCUAAUACCGCAUACGUCCUGAGGGAGAAAGUGGGGGAUCUUCGGACCUCACGCUAUCAGAUGAGCCUAGGUCGGAUUAGCUAGUUGGUGGGGUAAAGGCCUACCAAGGCGACGAUCCGUAACUGGUCUGAGAGGAUGAUCAGUCACACUGGAACUGAGACACGGUCCAGACUCCUAGGGGAGGCAGCAGUGGGGAAUAUUGGACAAAGGGCGAAAGCCUGAUCCAGCCAUGCCGCGUGUGUGAAGAAGGUCUUCGGAUUGUAAAGCACUUUAAGUUGGGAGGAAGGGCAGUAAGUUAAUACCUUGCUGUUUUGACGUUACCAACAGAAUAAGCACCGGCUAACUUCGUG